GACGAACGCUGGCGGCGUGCUUAACACAUGCAAGUCGAACGAAGAGCGACGGAAGCUUGCUUCUAUCAAUCUUAGUGGCGAACGGGUGAGUAACGCGUAAUCAACCUGCCCUUAAGAGGGGGACAACAGUUGGAAACGACUGCUAAUACCGCAUACGAUCUAAUCUCGGCAUCGAGGAUGGAUGAAAGGUGGCCUCUACAUGUAAGCUAUCACUGAAGGAGGGGAUUGCGUCUGAUUAGCUAGUUGGAGGGGUAACGGCCCACCAAGGCGAUGAUCAGUAGCCGGUCUGAGAGGAUGAACGGCCACAUUGGGACUGAGACACGGCCCAGACUCCUACGGGAGGCAGCAGUGGGGAAUCUUCCGCAAUGGACGAAAGUCUGACGGAGCAACGCCGCGGGAGUGAUGACGGCCGUCGGGUUGUAAAGCUCUGUUAAUCGGGACGAAAGGCCUUCUUGCGAAUAGUGAGAAGGAUUGACGGUACCGGAAUAGAAAGCCACGGCUAACUACGUG
rnacentral:rRNA from 1 species